UACGUAGGGGGCAAGCGUUGUCCGGAUUUAUUGGGCGUAAUGAGCGUGUAGGCGGCCAAGCAGGUCAGCUGUGAAAACUCGAGGCUCAACCUCGAGACGUCGGUUGAAACCGCUUGGCUAGAGUCCGGAAGAGGAGAGUGGAAUUCCCGGUGUAGCGGUGAAAUGCGCAGAUAUCGGGAAGAACACCCGUGGCGAAGGCGGCUCUCUGGGACGGUACUGACGCUGAGACGCGAAAGCGUGGGGAGCGAACAGG
rnacentral:rRNA from 1 species